rnacentral:misc_RNA from 1 species
AAGUCGUAACAAGGUUUCCGUAGGUGAACCUGCGGAAGGAUCAUUACCGAGAAAAUGCCCUUUAGGGUAUAUCUCCCACCCUUUGUUUACAAUACUAUUGUUGCUUUGGCAGGCCCGUCUUUGGACCGCUGGCUACUGCUGGUCAGUGCCUGCCAGAGGACCCUAAAACUCUUCUGUAAUUUGUCGUCCGAGUAUCAUAUAAUAAGUUAAAACUUUCAACAACGGAUCUCUUGGUUCUG